CCUGUCAUGAUGACUUUUUACGCCAGAUGUCAGGCUUGCACUCAAGCGGUUACUACGGCGCACCGGCGUCCAGCGCUCCAAAACCGGACUUCAAGCCAAACUAGGACGCUCUUUUCCGCUCACUCGAAGUAGGAAAGCCGCAGGAUGGAGUGGGGCCUACCGCUGGAACACAUAGGACAACUGCAGGGAGGAACUCGACAUUUCCAGAUGAAUUCAUCAAGCAUUUUGUGUCGUUUCCUGGAAUCAACGGCAAAGAAUUUAUAUUCCACCGAAGCUAGAUGAAGACAUUAUGCUGAUAAAGACACUCUCUUAAUUGAUGCCAGGCAGUUAUGUCAAGUCAAGUCACCUUUAUUUAUAUAGCGCUUUAAACAAAACAGAUUGUGUCAAUGCAACUGAACAACAUUAAUUAGGAAAACAGUGUGUCAAUAAUGCAAAAUGACAGUUAAAGGCAG